rnacentral:rRNA from 1 species
GAUGAACGCUGGCGGCGUGCCUAAUACAUGCAAGUCGAGCGAACAGACGAGGAGCUUGCUCCUCUGACGUUAGCGGCGGACGGGUGAGUAACACGUGGAUAACCUACCUAUAAGACUGGGAUAACUUCGGGAAACCGGAGCUAAUACCGGAUAAUAUAUUGAACCGCAUGGUUCAAUAGUGAAAGACGGUUUUGCUGUCACUUAUAGAUGGAUCCGCGCCGCAGUAGCUAGUUGGUAAGGUAACGGCUUACCAGGGCGACGGUGCGUAGCCGACCUGAGAGGGGGAUCGGCCACACUGGGACUGAGCCACGGUCCAGACUCCUACGGGAGGCAGCAGUAGGGAAUGUUCCGCAAUGGGCGGAAGCCUGACGGAGCAACGCCGCGUGAGUGAUGAAGGUCUUCGGAUCGUAAAACUCUGUUAUUAGGGAAGAACAAAUGUGUAAGUAACUAUGCACGUCUUGACGGUACCUAAUCAGAAAGCCACGGCUAACUACGUG